AUCUGGGAGGGGUUUGUGGGUGAACUCGGGGUCCACCGCCCGCUGAGGAGAUGGAUGAGGACGGGCUUCCUCUCAUGGGGUCAGGCAUAGACCUGACCAAGGUGCCAGCUAUUCAACAGAAAAGAACGGUGGCUUUUCUAAACCAAUUUGUGGUGCACACUGUACAGUUCCUCAACCGCUUUUCUACAGUUUGUGAGGAGACGGGGUCUUGCUGUAUCACCGAGGCUGGAGUGCAGUGGCGUGAUCACAGCUCAGGGCAACCUCAACUUCCUGGGCUCAAGUGAUCCUCCCACCUCAGCCUCCCUAGAAGCUUGGACUAUAGAAACUGGCAGACCUUUCACUUCGUAUCCAACAAAUUGAAACAACUCUCAAUAUUUUAGAUGCAAAGUUGUCAUCUAUCCCAGGCCUAGAUGAUGUCACAGUUGAAGUAUCUCCUUUAAAUGUCACCAGUGUCACAAAUGGAGCACAUCCUGAAGCCACUUCAGAGCAACCACAGAACAGUACACAAGACUCUGGACUACAGGAAAGUGAAGUAUCAGCAGAAAAUAUCUUAACUGUAGCCAAGGAUCCAAGAUAUGCCAGAUAUCU
rnacentral:lncRNA from 1 species